AAUUUAUCAUCCACACAGAUCAUCCACGUCACCGAACCGUAACUACUAGUGUUCUUUUGUCCACGACGCCAAGCCGUCGAAAGAAAAUACAAUCCAUUUAUUAACCACACAAUACAAUCCAUUCGUUCACCACUUUGUUUCUGUACGAGUUGUUUCAUCGGAGUGAACAUUGCUGCGCUUAUAACUGACAUUCCUGGACAAGAAGCAAUCAUUCGUCGGCAGGAAUACAUUUAAGUACAGUUUUGGAUACCAUCUGUCGUGUCUGCGAUCAUCAUACGUCAAGGAUACACUUUUCAGAGUGAGCUGGAACCUGGACGAGUAGUCAGAUAUGCCUAAAGACGAGGCUAAGGAGCGCGAGGCCUUCUAUUCUCAGUACUACUACUCUCUCGUGUCUGCCGGACGUGCCUUGAUCCAGAGUCAUAGCAAGCUGUCGCUCCCUUCACUCCACACUUUGUCUCCGAUUUGCUCUGAGGCACAUUCACACAAAGGGUGUCAAGUUCGGUCUGAGUCCAUCUAAGCACGCCAAAGAUGUACAAGAAAGUUGCCAUGAUCCAGCCGUUAUAAGCUCAGAACUUGUUGGUGCCCCACAAAUAGCUCCAGGGGACUUUUGUCAGCUGUCUAAAAAAGACUUCGCAAACUGCACUUCACCCCUAUGCAUUGUGACAUACCAAGGUACCGGUAAGAUUCAGCUUCGGAAAACUCGCUCGUUUCUUUUUGUGUGUAAUAAAGUUUUAAUAAAUAAAUAAAUAAAUAAAUAAAUAAAAAUAAUAUUUUCUUGUACCUACUUUUAAAUGGGACUGUGUAUUCUAAUUGAUAUUAACCUGUUCUAUUAAAUAUUUUUGUGAAUUAAAAUUUAUAUUUUGAA